rnacentral:rRNA from 1 species
UACGUAGGGUGCAAGCGUUAAUCGGAAUUACUGGGCGUAAAGCGUGCGCAGGCGGCUUUGCAAGACAGAUGUGAAAUCCCCGGGCUCAACCUGGGAACUGCAUUUGAGACUGCAAGGCUGGAGUACGGCAGAGGGGGAUGGAAUUCCGCGUGUAGCAGUGAAAUGCGUAGAUAUGCGGAGGAACACCGAUGGCGAAGGCAAUCCCCUGGGCCUGUACUGACGCUCAUGCACGAAAGCGUGGGGAGCAAACAGG